CAGUGAAUCAUCGAAUCUUUGAACGCACCUUGCGCUCCUUGGUAUUCCGAGGAGCAUGCCUGUUUGAGUGUCAUUAAAUUCUCAACCCCUCCAGCUUUUGCGAGUUGUGAUGGGGCUUGGAUCUGGGAGUUUGCGGGUCUUUAUCAAUAAAGGUCAGCUCUCCUGAAAUGCAUUAGCGGAACCGUUUGCAGUCCCGUCACUAGUGUGAUAAUUAUCUACACUGUGAUGAUUGCUCUCUGACUAGUUCAGCUGCUAAUCGUCCACUAUGGACAACACUUAAUGAACUUCUUGACCUCAAAUCAGGUAGGACUACCCGCUGAACUUAAGCAUAUCAAUAAGCGGAGGAAAAGAAACUAACAAGGAUUCCCCUAGUAACUGCGAGUGAAGCGGGAAAAGCUCAAAUUUAAAAUCUGGCGGUCUCUGGCCGUCCGAGUUGUAAUCUAGAGAAGUGAUGCCCGCGCUGGACCGUGUACAAGUCUCCUGGAAUGGAGCGUCAUAGAGGGUGAGAAUCCCGUCUCUGACACGGACUACCAGGGCUUUGUGGUAUCCUCUCAAAGAGUCGAGUUGUUUGGGAAUGCAGCUCUAAAUGGGUGGUAAAUUCCAUCUAAAGCUAAAUAUUGGCGAGAGACCGAUAGCGAACAAGUACCGUGAGGGAAAGAUGAAAAGAACUUUGGAAAGAGAGUUAAACAGUACGUGAAAUUGCUGAAAGGGAAACGCUUGAAGUCAGUCGCGUUGGCCAGGAAUCAGCCUCACUCUUGUGUGGUGUACUUUCUGGUUGACGGGUCAGCAUCAAUUUUGACUGCUGGAAAAAGGCUUAGGGAAUGUGGCAGCUUCGGCUGUGUUAUAGCCCUUUGUCACAUACAGCGGUUGGGAUUGAGGAACUCAGCACGCCGCAAGGCCGGGUUUCGACCACGUUCGUGCUUAGGAUGCUGGCAUAAUGGCUUUAAGCGACCCGUCUUGAAACACGGACCAAGGAGUCUAACAUGCCUGCGAGUGUUUGGGUGGUAAACCCGAGCGCGUAAUGAAAGUGAAAGUUGAGAUCCCUGUCGUGGGGAGCAUCGACGCCCGGACCUGAACUUUUGUGACGGAUCCGCGGUAGAGCAUGUAUGUUGGGACCCGAAAGAUGGUGAACUAUGCCUGAAUAGGGUGAAGCCAGAGGAAACUCUGGUGGAGGCUCGUAGCGAUUCUGACGUGCAAAUCGAUCGUCAAAUUUGGGUAUAGGGGCGAAAGACUAAUCGAACCAUC
rnacentral:rRNA from 1 species